ACCCCCUGGCAAUGGGCAAAGAGACAUCUUGUUGGUGGUGGUGUCCUUCUGUCAGUCAGGGGCAUAGCACAUGGCAGUCCUUUGUUCGUCCUAGCUUGAUGCCUGGCUUGGUGGCCAAAGCUGUCUUAUGCCAAGGACUCAUAA
ensembl:snoRNA LOC120093429 small nucleolar RNA SNORA48